rnacentral:rRNA from 1 species
GGGAGGUAGUGACAAUAAAUAACAAUACGGGGUCCUUUAGGGUCUCGUAAUUGGAAUGAGUACAAUUUAAAUCUCUUAACGAGGAACAAUUGGAGGGCAAGUCUGGUGCCAGCAGCCGCGGUAAUUCCAGCUCCAAUAGCGUAUAUUAAAGUUGUUGCAGUUAAAAAGCUCGUAGUUGAACCUUAGGCCCGUGCGGGCGGUCCGUCCUCUGGGCGAGCACUGCUCCGUCGCGGGUCUCACCUUCUGGCGAGCGUGGAUGCCAUUUAUUUGGUGUCCGCGGGAACCAGGACCUUUACCUUAAAAAAAUUAGAGUGCUCAAAGCGGGCUCCGACGCUUGAAUACAUUAGCAUGGAAUAAUGAAAUAGGACGAUGGUUCUAUUUUGUUGGUUUCCGGGACGGUCGUAAUGAUUAAUAGGGAUAGUUGGG